rnacentral:misc_RNA from 1 species
GUUCCUGACAAUAUAUAGAUAUGGAUAUUAUGAUAUUUAGAUAUUUAGACAAUUCUCAUAAUUUUUGCAAAAAACUGUAAACAUGGAAUGCAGUUAUAACAUAAUAUGGAUCAACAAGAAAUUUGAACUAGCGUUACUUCAACAUUUCAUUGCCUUGUAUUACUUUUAAAAGUAUCUUUCUUCAAUUUAUUGACAACAUGCAUGCCCAAUUGUCAUAAUUCUUCUUUUUUUCGUAUUGCAGUAAACGCUAUCCCUUGAGAAGCUACAUUGAAGUCGCUGAUCUUAAUUACGAGUUUAAAGUGAGGGAUUGUGGUGGAUGGCAGCCAUUGGAAGUUUUGAUGAAAAAUCGCUCAGCAGUCGUGAGAUAUUACUCAGAUAUAUCUCACAGCUCAGAAGUUCUAAGGCACCACUACAAAAGUUACUACUGUAACUGGCACUCUCCCUGGUACUCAUUAUGUGGUAUUGACAAUAUUCGCUUCUCUUUCCAUGUCAUUUUACAAAAACUGAUAGGUCUGAAUGUACAGAAUUGGAGGCCUGAUUUACAACAAUCCAAACCUGGUGAAGUAACUGUUAAUUGGGAUCCUUUGACGUUGCCAUCAAAGAGCUAUGUUGUUGUGCCGUUGUAUAACUCUACUGCGAAAGGGGAGCCAUUCCUGUACAUCAUUGAACGUAGAAACAAAACUUCGCUAGCGGUGGAAUACCUUGAACCAGCUACAUCAUACACGUUCAAAGUCUUUGCUUUCGAUUCUACGAACACAGGGUCCUUGAUCGAAAGCACUACAUGGUCUCUUGCAAUGAAAAAUGACACUUUGAGACUUGUUGGUGGACAGGUAUCCAACGAGGGAAGAGUGGAAGUAUUCAAAAAUGGUUCAUGGAAUAAGAUAUGCUUUUUUUCUUACCGUAACAAUAGCAAGGAUUAUGUUAUUUGUCGCUCUUUGAGUCUACCAAGUCCUCCUCAUCCUAUAUAUUCCCAAACAUUUCAGGAUACGUCAUUUCCAGUGCAUUUUCUAAAGAAAAAGUACCGUUGUAAUGGAAAUGAGACAGGUCUCGAGGAAUGUGCAACAAGUAUUGAUACACAAUCAAUGUGUCAGCGGAAUCCCCGUUAUCAAGCUGAAGUUGUAUGUGGUCACCCACCAGUCUUUUAUCAAAAUAUCACUAAGAUGACUGGUGUUAUUACAAGUCCUGGAUACCCAUCAUCCAUGAUGCAAGCCGAUUAUCGCUGGACAUUCAUGCCAAAUUUGACUCAUGGACAUGUUGUUAUAUAUUUUGAAAAGCUGUAUUUAGGAAGAUGGUGGCCUGAUUAUGGUUACAGUAGAGUUUACAUCCAGGAAUCACUCCCAGACAAAGUGAAUCGCAAUUGCGUAUAUCGCAGACUUGUGACAGUGAAAAGCUUACCAGUCCAACUUCAGUUCUAUUCCUCGUCUUCCACUCGUCGAUUAAUUACUAAGCACAAUACACAGGGGAUGCGAGCAAGAUUCUUUACUUACAGUGAGCCAGUACCGACGCUAACAAAUUGGGUGAUCUCACUAUCAAGCCACAGCUAUAAGAGCAUCACUGCUAACUGGACACAGGUACCUGUUACAGGCUACGAUGUUUUGGGAUUCUUGAUAUCCUGUAACUCAACACAAGAUUGGGUUAACAAAUCAUCUCACGAAUUCGGAGAAAGCAAUUCAACAUCUGCGACUUUAAGUGGGCUGAUUGGGUACACUAACUAUGACGUCCACGUCUUGGCCUUGUUAAGAAAAGGGAGGAACGGUACCAUUGCGGCAUACCGCAGCUCAGAGACGUCUAUAACAACUCCAGAAUCAUCUCCAAUUUGGGGACCUCAAGGACUUUAUUUCACUAAUAUCACAUCAAAUACAGCAGUAAUUGGAUGGAAGGAAAUUCCCAGAAAAUAUACCCAUGGUGAAGUUCUUGGGUAUACUAUACUACUAUAUAAUUGUUCCACUCCCUAUCAUCAAAAACAAAUAGUAGUCUAUGAUACAUCAGUGGUUUUAACAGAUCUUUCCCCUGCGAUCCAAUAUUGUGUGGAGAUUCGAGGCUACACUUCAGCUGGAGCAGGACCAUCUACACGCCGUUCCUUUUCAACAAAAGGCAUAUCUGUCGAGGAGAAACCAACCACUGGACCUCCACCCAAGCCACCAACACCCUCCAAAGAAGAGCUUCGUAAUUCGGUCAAGGUUACAAUUAAAGAACUCAAUAUUUUUGAGUGGAAUCAGCAGCUCGACCUUAAGUUUAAAAGGAGUGUAGCCCAUGAAGUGACUGCAUUCUGUGUGAAGAAUAGCAUUUGUCUUCCACCGAAAGGACGUAAAAGACUUGACGUUUGAACCUAAUCAAUUACUUGUUGAAGAAUGAAAAAGCGUAUUUUCCUGAACGUAAAUUAUGUAAACAUCUCGACCGAGAACGAACUGCGAAACAGUGCUGUCACCAAGGUAGCUCAAGCGUAUCGUGCAUGCGCAAUGAAAUGGCCCCUUGUUGUAAGCCUAUGCCUAAGCACUCUACCAUUAAAUGCUGUAGAGCUGAGAAGAAAAAUCAGUUGCAAGAACAAAAGGAAGGCGCACUGAAAACAACUUCAUUAACUUUACUUCAGACCAAGUAAACCUUGUUGGUUUCCCA